AAACAAGCCGUUGCGGAGCGAACAUGACAAGGUUUGGCGUACAGCGCAGCUGGCACCUCCAAGACGCGCAGUCGCGCGCCGGUUCUGUCGGGUGGGAGGUGAUCAGCUGCGAACACACGAGGAACGAAGAUGUUCGUCCUGCAGAAGUCUAUAUUAUCAGCUACCAGCAGAAACUGUGGAUCAUGGGGACGAAUGCUACCGCCUACACACGCUAUUAUGAAGAAUAUUCAACAAAGGGAGAUCCACGAAGUUUCGGGAGAUGUGAUACCUAUAAAUAUGGUAAAGGGCAUCGGACAUCUUAGGGAUCCUCGCCUUAAUAAGGGCUUGGCGUUUACUCUGAAAGAGAGAAUAGCUCUAGGAAUACAUGGACUGCAGCCUCCUAGAUUUAAAACGCAGGAGGAACAAUUAGCAUUAUGCAAAGCUUCAGUUAUGAAAUAUACGGAAGACCUGAACCGAUAUCUGUAUCUGGUGGAACUUCAAGAGAGAAAUGAGAGGCUGUUUUUCCGUCUGCUAAGCGAGAAUAUCGAGCAGAUGAUGCCAAUCGUUUAUACACCUACUGUUGGGCUUGCUUGUCAAAAAUUCGGUGUAAUUUACCGUAGGCCGCGUGGACUUUUCAUUACUAUAUAUGAUAAGGGUCAUAUCUACGAGGUUUUGAAUAAUUGGCCAGAACAAGCAGUGCGAGCUAUUUGUGUAACAGAUGGCGAACGAAUUUUGGGUCUUGGUGAUCUUGGUGCUUGCGGUAUGGGUAUUCCUGUCGGAAAAUUAGCACUUUAUACAGCUCUAGCUGGCAUUAAACCACAUCAAUGUCUCCCGAUUACCAUUGACGUAGGCACUAAUAAUGAACAGUUGAGAAACGAUCCUCAUUAUAUUGGUCUUAACAAACCGAGAACUCAAGGUCCCGAAUACGAUGAAUUGAUCGAUGAAUUUAUGGCAGCUUGCGUAAAAAAGUACGGGCAAAACGUUCUUAUUCAAUUCGAAGAUUUCGGGAAUCAUAAUGCUUUUCGUUUCUUAGACAAAUACCGAAAUAAAUAUUGCACGUUCAAUGAUGACAUCCAAGGUACAGCCGCGGUUGCAGUGGCUGGAAUUUUAGCAUCAAAGAGAAUAACUAAGAAAAGGAUGUCGGAUAAUAAGUUUGUCUUCCUGGGUGCUGGAGAGGCAGCUAUUGGCAUUGCCGACCUUUGCGUUAAAGCGAUGGAGGCUGAUGGUUGCACCGAACAACAAGCGCGUAAUAAUAUCUGGAUGAUGGAUAUCGACGGAUUACUUGUAAAGAACCGGCCGGAAGGUAAUCUGGAGGGCCAUAAAAUUUGGUACGCGAAAGAACACAAAGUGAUGAAGACAUUGAUUGAAGUCGUAAAGGAAAUCAAGCCUACCGUCUUGAUAGGUGCCUCAGCUGCUGCAGGUGCGUUCACCCCCGAAGUUUUGAAAGAAAUGGCAAAAAAUAACGAGAGACCAUUGAUCUUUGCUCUGAGUAAUCCAACCAGUAAAGCUGAAUGUACAGCACAGCAGGCAUACGAUCAUACGGAUGGAAGAUGUGUAUUCUCUUCUGGUUCACCAUUCGGUGAAGUAAAAUAUAAUGGAAAGACAUAUAAACCUGGACAAGGUAAUAAUGCAUACAUUUUCCCCGGCAUAGCUUUGGGCGUUAUUGCGACUGGAUGCCACCAUAUCACGGAAGAUCUAUUCCUAAUUUCGGCACAAGCUGUAGCCGAUCACGUGAAAAAUGAGGAUCUCGAAAGAGGAAGUUUGUACCCGCCGUUGAAUAACAUUCGCGAAUGCUCAAUCGACAUUGCAGUUAGAAUAGCAGAUUACGCUUACGCUAAAGGUGGUUUAGCAAGCGAAUAUCCGGAACCAAAAGACAAACGACAAUUUAUUAUGAGUAAAAUGUAUGAUGCCAAUUAUGACAGUCCACUGCCAAGCUUUUAUGAAUGGCCAGGUGAUUCUGCCAGGCCUCGCAUUUUACCGGAAAAAGACAGAAUAGAAAUCCGUCAUGAUUUAAAACAUCUGUAGUGGAUUUCAUCGACCAGAAAUAUAAUUGAAAACUAUUUUUCUUACAUUUAACAAUCAAAACCUUAUUUCUUCAGUUCAUAAUCAAUGUCACUUCAAACAUACACAAACAGCAAAAUGAUUUGCAAACAAUUUUAACUGUAAGGACAAUUAUUUCAUCACAUGACUAACGUCAGAGUUUGCACUAUUACAAUUUGCACAAAGUGCUAACAUAAUACACGACGAUUAUGACGGGUUGGCGAAUCUAAAGAUGAGACGACUACUUUAACAUAUACAUAAAUUUGUUAAAUUAAUUUCUGGCAAUUAGAAAAUAAUAAAUAUUAAUAUUAUUGCGUGUGGUCAAAAAGUAUAUUUUUUAGUAUUAAGAAUUGCAAUUUAUUAGUGAGAAAUUUAUU